CUCCCCCCAUAACCCUUAUAACCCUAUAAUAACCCCUAUACCCCCAUAAUAUCCCCUAUACCCCCAUAAUACCCUAUAUCCCACAUAAUACCCCCCUAUACCCCUUAAUAACCCCAUAAUACCCUAUAUCCCACAUAAUACCCCCUAUACCCCAUAAUACCCCCAUAAUACCCUAUAUCCCCCAUAAUACCCCCCUAUACCCCAUAAUACCCCCUAUACCCCAUAAUACACCCUAUACCCCCCAUAAUACCCCAUAUACCCCCAUAAUACCCCCUAUACCCACAUAAUACCCCCCUAUACCCCCCCUAUACCUCCCUAAUACCCCCUAUACCCCACUCUGGGUCCCUAUGGGGACACUGGGGUCCCUUUAUGGGGUCUGGGGGGGGUAUAUAUGGGAUGGAUAAAGGGGGGGGACACUGUGGGUUCAUGUCCCCAAGGGCCACCACCUCCUUGGGUCAUGUCCAUAGGGGAUAUGGGGACAUAGGGGGGGACAUGGGGACACCCCAAGGGUCCUUUAUGACCCCAAAGGACCCCAAGGACCCCCAUCUCCAUGUCCAUAAUGGAUAUGGGGACAUAGGGGGGGACAUGGGGACACCCCAAGGGUCCUUCAGUGUCCAUAAGGGACAUGGGACCCCGAAGGGACCCAAGGACCCCUCUAAUGUCCCAUAGAUGGAUAUGGGGACCCCAAGGGAGCCCCUAAGGACCCCCAUCUCCAUGUCCAUAAUGGACACAGGGACACAGACUGAUGGUGUGUGAUGGGGGGUGAGGUUAUAAUUGGGGUGGGGGUCCCCUGUUGGGGGGGUUAUGGGGCAGGGAUGGGACGAGGACCCACCUGGCUCGUCACCUGAGGCCGGGGGUCCGGAGCGCGCUACCUGACGUAACAGCUCUAGGAUCGAAAGAGGAAAGGGGGGGUCAGCGCCCGCCGUCCAUCUUUACAGGGGGGGC
rnacentral:lncRNA from 1 species